UACGUAGGGUGCGAGCGUUUGUCCGGAAUUAUUGGGCGUAAAGGGCUCGUAGGCGGUUUGUCGCGUCGGGAGUGAAAUCCACUGGCUUAACUGGUGGCUUGCUUUCGAUACGGGCAGACUGGAGGUAUGCAGGGGAGAACGGAAUUCCUGGUGUAGCGGUGAAAUGCGCAGAUAUCAGGAGGAACACCGGUGGCGAAGGCGGUUCUCUGGGCCGAUAUUGACGCUGAGGAGCGAAAGCGUGGGGGAGCGAACAGG
rnacentral:rRNA from 1 species